UUUCCAUUCCUGGGAUGUUUCCAAAUAUGUUUCCUUUGGCAACUGGCCAGUUCCCAGCUUUAUCUGUGAUGCCGGUUCAGGCAAUGACACAACAGGCAACUCGACAUGCUCGUCGUGUGUAUGUUGGAGGUCUUUCACCUACUGCAAAUGAGCAGUCAGUUGCUACUUCAGCCAAGUGAUGUCUGCUAUUGGAGGGAAUACUGCUGGUCCAGGUGAUGCUGUUGUUAAUGUGUAUAUAAAUCAUGAAAAGAAGUUUGCUUUUGUGGAGAUGAGAUCAGUUGAAGAAGCAAGUAAUGCCAUGGCCUUGGAUGGGAUCAUUUUUGAGGUAGGGAUUACUCCUGAAUCAAGUGAAUACUUUCUAUCUAGAUAAGGUACAAGGUUUUACAGCUCCCUAUGCCCAAAUCACUU